AGAGGGCAAAGGGCGAGGUCCAACGGCCCAGCCCCAGCAGGGGACUCUCGAGCUUCGGGAUUCCGCCUACCCGGUAGCGGCUGUUUAGACCCAGACCGGCCCCUGCGCGAUAUGAGCACCGCUCAGGACUGCAGCUGUUGGGCACCAGCAGCCAGGUCUGCAGGCUCCGCGAAGCCUGGCCCGGACCGUAGCUUCUGCAAGCAGUCCAGGUGUAUCCUGGGGUCACUGGAGGGCAGAGCCUGCUCAGAGCGAGUACAGAAGCAGCCCAGGUCUUCCCAGCACCAGGUUCACUGGAAGUGCCAGAAACCAACAACUGUCAGCAUUGACACCAUCAGGCCUUUCUCUUCUAAUUUAACCUUGCAGCCAACCACACGGCUAUCUGUGCGGGAUCUCUCCCCAAGCUCAAGGACAUGAGAUGCGGAUCAGGCCCAAGAGGCUGGAUGCCAAACCUAUCCUCUCCAUGUGAAGCACCAACUUGGGGGUGUCAACUAAAAAUAUGAGACCCGUAAACUUGGAAAGGAAGACUUUAUUUCUUGAGAAGGGUUGCAAACUGCAGGCUGGGAAGUGGCACCUCCAGCUGAGACCACAAACAGUGGACUUUCUCAAACUGGGGUAUUGACCUCUGAUGAACCGCCAUGCAAACCCGUGCCUUUCAACAUAAAAAGAAGCCCUUCGAGGUGCUCACCUUCAAGCUUGCUAGAGGAGGAGGAAGAGCAGGUUGAGUUUGACAUAACUAGAAUGGGUUGAGCCUUUCCAGCAGAGUAAGGUUCUUUCAUGGUGGACAGUGGCCACCCACUGCCAUUUCUACAAGAAGAUUUUGCUUCUUAGGCACUGAGUUCCUGGUUCUUUCACUAGAGAAAAAUGAGUAGGUUGGCAAUCCAGUACUUCCAUCUUCUGUGAAGACCUGGGCAGGCAACGGGGGCUUGGGGGCGGGGGCAGGGACCAAAGACAAGGCUGCCAUUUGCUGUGCCCACCACAGAGGGACAUUUACUCCACCUGAAGCACAAGUAUUUUCUCAGUGAUGUUGGCUCCUACAAAGUCAAAAGGGGUAGGCUCCCUGGCUUACGCUCCAGGAGUUUGGACUGAAAGGGACACUAAAAGUGUCUUCCUCUAAGUUUAUGAUGUUGCCCUCCUCUGGCUACAACAGUGCUCUGGCCAUAAGCAUCCCAGGUUCUCUGAAUGAUGGUGGGUAUGGAAAUGUUCCCAAACACAGGUAUGGCGGUGUCCCCUCCCACUGUACCAAUCUAUGCCCAGGGCUGGAAGGUCCGUGGUGCUCUGAACUGGAUUCAUAAACAGUAGCAUCUCCAA
rnacentral:lncRNA from 1 species